rnacentral:rRNA from 1 species
GGCGAACGGGUGAGUAACGCGUGAGAAACCUGCCUUCAACAGGGGGAUAACAUUCCUAACGGGAUGCUUAUACCGCAUGAGACCACGGGAUCGCAUGAUCCUGAGGUCAAAGGUGGCCUCUAUUUAUAAGCUACCGGUUGAAGAUGGUCUCGCGUCCCAUUAGCUAGUUGGCGGUGUAAAAGACCACCAAGGCGACGAUGGGUAGCUGGUCUGAGAGGAUGAUCCGCCACACUGGGACUGAGACACGGCCCAGACUCCUACGGGAGGCAGCAGUGGGGAAUUUUGGACAAUGGGGGGAACCCUGAUCCAGCCAUGCCGCGUGUCUGAAGAAGGCCUUCGGGUUGUAAAGGACUUUUGUACGGGAAGAAAGGCUUUGGGCUAAUACCCUGAAGUUAUGACGGUACCGUAAGAAUAAGCACCGGCUAACUACGUGCCAACAGCCGCGGUAAUACGUAGGGUGCGAGCGUUAAUCGGAAUUACUGGGCGUAAAGCGAGCGCAGACGGUUACUUAAGCAGGAUGUGAAAUCCCCGGGCUUAACCUGGGAACGGCGUUCUGAACUGGGUAACUAGAGUAUGUCAGAGGGGGGUAGAAUUCCACGUGUAGCAGUGAAAUGCGUAGAGAUGUGGAGGAAUACCGAUGGCGAAGGCAGCCCCCUGGGAUAAUACUGACGUUCAUGCUCGAAAGCGUGGGUAGCAAACAGGAUUAGAUACCCUGGUAGUCCACGCCCUAAACGAUGUCAAUUAGCUGUUGGGGUACUUGAUACCUUAGUAGCGUAGCUAACGCGUGAAAUUGACCGCCUGGGGAGUACGGUCGCAAGAUUAAAACUCAAAGGAAUUGACGGGGACCCGCACAAGCGGUGGAUGAUGUGGAUUAAUUCGAUGCAACGCGAAGAACCUUACCUGGUCUUGACAUGUACGGAACCUUCCAGAGACGGAAGGGUGCCUUCGGGAGCCGUAACACAGGUGCUGCAUGGCUGUCGUCAGCUCGUGUCGUGAGAUGUUGGGUUAAGUCCCGCAACGAGCGCAACCCUUGUCAUUAGUUGCCAUCAUUAAGUUGGGCACUCUAAUGAGACUGCCGGUGACAAACCGGAGGAAGGUGGGGAUGACGUCAAGUCCUCAUGGCCCUUAUGACCAGGGCUUCACACGUCAUACAAUGGUCGGUACAGAGGGUAGCCAAGCCGCGAGGUGGAGCCAAUCCCACAAAACCGAUCGUAGUCCGGAUUGCACUCUGCAACUCGAGUGCAUGAAGUCGGAAUCGCUAGUAAUCGCAGGUCAGCAUACUGCGGUGAAUACGUUCCCGGGUCUUGUACACACCGCCCGUCACACCAUGGGAGUGGGGGAUACCAGAAUUGGGUAGGAUAACCUUCGGGAGUCCGCUUAACACGGUAUGCUUCAUGACUGGGGUGAAGUCGAACAAGGUA